GACGAACGCUGGCGGCGUGCCUAAUACAUGCAAGUCGAACGCUUAAGGAGGGGUUUGCUUCUCUGUCAGAGUCGCGCGCGGGUGUGUAACCUAUAAAUAUCCUGCCUGGUAGCGGAGGACAACUAUUGGAAAGGGUAACUACUACCGCAUACCUGUAGAUGUAGCAUGGUAUCUAUUUGAAAUCUCCAUUUCAAUCAAUACUAGAUCGAACUACGUUGUAUUAGCUGGUUGGGGAGGUAACGGGUCACCAACGCGACGAUACAUAGCCGACCUGAGAGGGUGAGCGGCCACACUGGGACUGAGACACGGCCCAGACUCCUACGGGAGGCAGCAGUAGGGAAUCUUCGGCAAGAGACGGAAGUCUGACCGAGCAACGCCGCGGGAGUGAAGAAGGUUGUCGGAUCGUAAAGCUCUGUUGUAAGAGAAGAACGAGUGUGAGAGUGGAAAGUUCACACUGUGACGGUAUCUUAACAGAAAGGGACGGCUAACUACGUG
rnacentral:rRNA from 1 species